rnacentral:rRNA from 1 species
UACAGGGGGUGCAAACGUUGCUCGGAAUCAUUGGGCGUAAAGCGCACGUAGGCGGUUCGUUAUGUCGGAUGUGAAAGCCCUUGGCUUAACCGAGGAAGUGCAUCCGAAACUGGCGAGCUAGAGUACGAAAGAGGAUCGCGGAAUUCCCGGUGUAGAGGUGAAAUGCGUAGAUAUCGGGAGGAACACCAGUGGCGAAGGCGACUAUCUGGGCUGCAACUGACGCUGAGGCGCGAAGGCUAGGGUAGCAAACAGG